rnacentral:rRNA from 1 species
GACGAACGCUGGCGGCGCGCUUAACACAUGCAAGUCGAACGGUGAAGCGCCUUCCUUUUUGGUGGGUGUGGAUGAGUGGCGAACGGGUGAGUAACACGUGAGUAACCUGCCCCCUUCUUCUGGAUAACCGCAUGAAAGUGUGGCUAAUACGGGAUAUUCUGGGUCUGUCGCAUGAUGGGUCUGGGAAAGAUAUUGUUUCGGUGGGGGAUGGGCUCGCGGCCUAUUAGCUUGUUGGUGGGGUGAUGGCCUACCAAGGCGGCGACGGGUAGCCGGCCUGAGAGGAGGGUCGGCGGCACUACAGGUGCGGCGACGCCGAGCAUACUCCGGGAGGAGGCAGUAGGGGAGAAUAUGGAACAGGGGGAGCAAUGCUGAAGCAGCGACGCGGCGGGAGUGAUGGUGGCCGUCGGGUUGUGAUCCUCUUUCGCGAGUGAAGCAGUCUGGCAUCGUUUGUGGGUGGGUUGACGGUAGCUGGAUAAGAAGCGCCGGCUAACUACGUG